rnacentral:rRNA from 1 species
GUAGGUGGCAAGCGUUGUCCGGAAUUAUUGGGCGUAAAGCGCGCGCAGGCGGUUCUUUAAGUCUGAUGUGAAAGCCCACGGCUCAACCGUGGAGGGUCAUUGGAAACUGGAGAACUUGAGUACAGAAGAGGAAAGCGGAAUUCCACGUGUAGCGGUGAAAUGCGUAGAGAUGUGGAGGAACACCAGUGGCGAAGGCGGCUUUCUGGUCUGUAACUGACGCUGAGGCGCGAAAGCGUGGGAGCAAACAGGGAUUAGAUACCCUGGUAGUCCACGCCGUAAACGAUGAGUGCUAAGUGUUAGGGGGGUUUCCGCCCCCUUAGUGCUGCAGCUAACGCAUUAAGCACUCCGCCUGGGGAGUACGGCCGCAAGGCUG